UAUUACUGACUACUUGCUUAUUGCUGGCACUAUCUGGCCUGUACUAGGCCAAAUGUAUUCCUCAAAACAAAAAUGUCAUGAUGUUCCACUGUUGGCUGGUAAAAAGCUGAAAACAGCUGGUUCCAUCAACACAUGGUCAAUGUUCACAUUUCAACCAAACUUAUCUGGGUGAUAAAAUAUUCAGACUCGUAACCUGUCCCUGUCCAUAUAGAUGAUAUCCCCUUUCGUUUGAGCCAGACAGAUCACCAGACUAGCUUCACUAACUCCCACUGGUUUGACCUAACGAGUCCAAUUUUAAUCGUCUUAUUUCUGCAAGCUUAUGGAGUUAAAUAUGUUAAGCUUCAUGCAUUAGACAACGCAACCAAAAGUCCAAACUAUGGGAGAGGGUCGGAGAUUAUGCUCCCCCUCACGGCUAUGCUCCUUUGAAGUUUAUGAGCGGAGCAGACCACAAUUAUUUAUUGCGUUUACUUAGCGUUUAGUGGGUUUUGAACCCUGAACCUCUUGGUUGUAAGUUUAUGCACCUAACCAAUUCAUCCAUCAGUCCGAACAGAUAAAAAGGGCUAGACAAUUCACAUAUACACUUCAACACCCCUCUCACGUGUGACACGGAAAGUCAACACGUGGAUAGACUCACAGGAAUGGCUCAAGAGGCGUAUACGUGGACAUAAAGGGGGGCAAUAGCAAUUUUUUUGAUAAAUUGUCAAAGCCAGGAGUUGAACUCAAGACCUUAGCUCUGAUACCAUGUUAAACUUCAUGCACUAGCCAACACAACCAAAAUUGCGAACUAUGGGAGAAGGCCGGACAUUAUACUCCAACAAUAUAUAUAUACCUAUGGAACUCAUGAAGAAAAAUAUGGAAUAACCUCCAUGCAUUUAC
rnacentral:lncRNA from 1 species